UACUUUCCGUCAAAGGACGCCAUACUCGCCUUGAAUGCAAAUCUAUGGCUCCUCUCCCCCCAGCGCCGCAGCCAUUUUCGCCAAGAGGAGAGAGGGAGCGAGAAGAAGAACAGGCGAGACGACGCGCCAUGGAGUUCCUCCUGCAGCCAAUCUGCAGAUCCACUAUUUUUGAGGUCGGAAGAGUCUCGUGCCGGAAGAUUUGCCGGUAGAUGGGACAAGGCGAAUGGUGGUGGAGGUGGCGCUGCAGGAGGGUAUGGUUUUGAGCGGGUCUGCUGGGCGUCAGGAGCGGCGGCGAUGCGGCCAAUGACGAAUCUGCAGCGCUGCACCGGCAGCGGCGAUGAGCGGCGAAGGUCCGAUCUGCAGCGAGGCGCUGAGGGCAGCGGUGAGAAAGGACAGCUCGCCUCCCAUGUCUGAGCUGUCAACGUGGAAGAUGAAUCCCCAGGCUCCUGGUUCGAAUAAGAGGGGAAAGCUCGUGUGGAGAGCACAAUGUUCUGUCGAUGUGAAUGCCCAGGAUUGAUAAGGCUUUUAUAGACAGAGGACAAUGGGUGGUAUAUCGCCGAGCAAUGGGAGAGUCAUAACCAUUCACUUUUGCCAAAUUUCGGUGAGACAAUCCACUGGCCGUCCCACAAGCACAUUUAUGUGUACAGGAGGGACCUGAUAAAACACUUGCGGCAGAAUAAUGUCAACCUUGCGAAGGUGUAUAGCACAGUAGGCAGUUUUUUUGGAUCGUUGGAAAAUGUGCCAUUCACGAAGAGGUCUUUGUGUAAUCUGUGUGGCAUGAUUAGCAGGAAACAAUCAGAUGAUGAUGUAAGGAAAACGACGGAGGUGUUUGCAGAAAUUGGAGCAAAGGACCUCAUUUCACAUGCAGAGUUCAGGCUGACAAAGAGGGCAGGAUCAAGAACCUUAUGUGGGUAAGCGGGAGCAGCAGGUUGCAGUACACGUUUUCGGUGAUGUGUUAACAUUUGACACAGCCUUUCGGCCUUGGUGUGAAUAAUCAUUUCCAGAGUGUUAUCCUGGCUGGAGUGCUUGUGUGUGAUGGAACCAUCAAGAGUUUUGAAUGAGUUUUCUCUGAAUUUCUGAGAAUGAUGGGUGGCGCUGCACCGAUAACUAUACUUACCGUUGCUGCAGCUACAACACUUUGCCUCCUUGCCUAAUGGCCCAAGAUCCACACAUAGGUACAUGUUGCUCCUUUGCCUUUUAAUCCAGGAAAGUGAAAUAACUAGUUUAGGUUUUGUGAUAGAUUUAGCAAGUGUGAAUUUCGUAUUACUGUGACAUAGUUAGUAGGUGUGAAUUUCAGACUAGUGUAUGUGUGAAUUAGAGAAUAUUUGACAUGGAUUCAGAUUAGUGUGGGAGUUCUUUGACUCCAUGUUGUGUAAAUGUUAGUUUUGUUAGCUAGAUGAUGAUGGUCCAUGCCUGACAAUCCUGUAUGUUGCAUGUACUACUCAUGUUUUGAUAGAGAAAAAGGAAAAACAAUGAGUUAUUGUUGCUGCCAUGAAACCCCCAAUAUGAAUGGCAUUCAUGAAAUUACACAGAGAAACUUCUCGCAUUAGCAACACUGAGUUGUGAAUUUCUUCUUCUUAUUAACAACAGAUGUAUCUGUCUUGUCAUCAUAAAAUAAAAUUUGGACCGUCAUGGGUCAUCUACUCUCUGUGUGUAAUAGUAACUUGGACAGACAGAGGGUGAACUGAGAUGGGGCUUUGUAAUAGUACAUAUAUUUAUAUACAGGAGAGCUUAAGAAGCGCCAGUGACUGGUUAUUAAUACUACUAGAUGUAGUUGAUUUUCAGGUUGUCCGUCAAUGUUUUAGUCUUUUAGUUAUGUUGUUGGGUGCUUGUACUCUGCCUCAAUUGUUCUGCCACAAAGCACAAGCAAGCUGCGGUUUCUAGUGUGAGAGUCUACAAUGCUAGUCAUCUUUAAAAUGUUUUCAUUUUUAGCUGAGAUAUUUUGUCACUAUAGUACUCCUUCAGUACAUAAACCUGCCAUGGAAAUGUUUGAUUGCAGCCCAGAAAUCAGCCUUGCCAUGUAGUAACAUGCAAACCAUAGUUCAGCCACAAUAUGUAGGGAAAUGUUUGGUUAACAGUAUUUUUUUUCUGGAGAAAUAGCCUAGCAAGGACAACGGAACUAGUAAGAAGAAAAUGGCUGCGCAAAAGUUUCAUCACUUAAUUUACUUUUCGGCGUUCUGAAGUUGUAGAGCACACGACCAUUAGUCAUGCGCACUGCUGCUGCAAUCUCUUUUGGUUCUUCCUGAAAGUCUAAAGAAUUUCACACGUCAAACAGCUUGUCCACUAGUGCCUUGUCUUUGUAUCUUUCUCCUGAUUACGAAAACGCUUAUGAGCAUCCAAGAAUGGUACUACUGCUAGAAACUUAGCACGAUCAUCCUGAUUUUCUGUUUUUGAUACAGUAAUGGUGUCGUCUUUUGGUUGUUCUCCUUUGACAUAACAAUGAUGUUGGUUCUCUUUUGGUUGUUCUACAAUAGGCAUUUUGCAAGGCAUGUAGACAAGUCGAUCCCCCUUUUCAUUCUAGCAUGAUGCACUUUGUUGGAAUUCUGAAGAUUAAUGUGUCAUUAGUGCUCCUAUGAAUUCUGAAGCAAAACAAUAGGCAGCAAGAAACCAAGCAUCACCCUGGUUGUCCUAUGAAUUCUGAAGAUUAAUGUGUCACGAGUACUCUGUACUCAUAUAUGUGGAGUUGUCAGCAUUGAGGGCAUUAUCUAAAGAUUAUUAUUCUGCUAUUCCAUCUAAACUGUAGUUACCUUAUUCUGCAAUGUUCAGGGACCAUGCUGUAAUUUUGUUUUUCUUACGGGUCUUUGUGCAAGCUGUACUGAAUUUCCAGAUUUAAUAUAAUGCAGCUCCAGCCGAUGCUAUAUGUUAUGGGAA